GACGAACGCUGGCGGCGUGCUUAACACAUGCAAGUCGAGCGGAAAGGCCCUUCGCUUGCUAUGCGCGUGUAAGGGGCGAGCGAGAGGUUGACGCGCGGAUCUCCACCUUGUGAUACGGAUAGGACACUGGGACUAAGACUGUAAAUGACUACCAAUUUCUGGGCCGGGGGGGGCAAGAUUGAGCGGUGGAGGUUGGGUCCGUGGUCUAUCGGCUUGUGGGUGGUGUACUGGUUUACCAAGGCGAGGACGGGUAGGCGACCUGAGAGGGUGAGCGGCCACACUGGGACUGAGAGACGGCCCAGACUCCUACGGGAGGCAGCAGUGGGGAAUAUUGCACAAUGGGCGCAAGCCUGAUGCAGCGACGCCGCGUGCGGGAUGACGGCCUUCGGGUUGUAAACCUCUUUCGGCGGAGACGAAGCGAAAGUGACGGUACCUGAUGAAGAAGCACCGGCUAACUACGUG
rnacentral:rRNA from 1 species